ensembl:snRNA U6 U6 spliceosomal RNA
GUACUCACUGUGGCAGCAGCACACAUAAUAAAACUGGAACAAGAAAGAAAAGAUGAGCAGAGCCUCUGCACAAGGAUGAUAAGUAAAUUUGUGAAGCAUUCCAUAUUUUU